rnacentral:rRNA from 1 species
GACGAACGCUGGCGGCGUGCUUAACACAUGCAAGUCGAACGGAAAGGCCCUGCUUUUGUGGUGUUCUCGAGUGGCGAACGCGUGCGUAACACGUGAGUAACCUGCCCUUGACUUUGGGAUAACUUCAGGAAACUGGGGCUGAUACCGGAUAGGAGCUCCUGCUCCAUGGUGGGCGUUGGAAAGUUUCGGCGGUUGGGGAUGGACUCGCGGCUUAUCAGCUUGUUGGUGGGGUAGUGGCUUACCAAGGCUUUGACGGGUAGCCGGCCUGAGAGGGUGACCGGCCACAUUGGGACUGAGAUACGGCCCAGACUCCUACGGGAGGCAGCAGUGGGGAAUAUUGCACAAUGGGCGGAAGCCUGAUGCAGCAACGCCGCGUGCGGGAUGACGGCCUUCGGGUUGUAAACCGCUUUCGCCUGUGACGAAGCGUGAGUGACGGUAAUGGGUAAAGAAGCACCGGCUAACUACGUG